UGUGUAGGCGGUCCUCUAAGUUUGGUGUGAAAUCUCCCGGCUCAACUGGGAGGGUGCGCCGAAAACUGGAGGGCUUAGAGUGCGGGAUGGGAGAGUGGAAUUCCUGGUGUAGCGGUGAAAUGCGUAGAUAUCAGGAGGAACACCUGUGGUGUAGACGGCUCUCUGGACCGCAACUGACGCUGAGACACGAAAGCGUGGGUAGCAAACAGGAUUAGAUACCCUGGUAGUCCACGCCCUAAACGAUGCAUAUUUGGUGUGGGUCAUUCAUUUGAUCCGUGCCGGAGCUAACGCGUUAAAUAUGCCGCCUGGGGAGCACGGUCGCAAGGCUGAA
rnacentral:rRNA from 1 species